AUACGUAGGUGGCGAGCGUUGUCCGGAUUUACUGGGCGUAAAGGGAGCGUAGGCGGAUUUUUAAGUGAGAUGUGAAAUACUCGGGCUUAACCUGAGUGCUGCAUUUCAAACUGGAAGUCUAGAGUGCAGGAGAGGAGAAGGGAAUUCCUAGUGUAGCGGUGAAAUGCGUAGAGAUUGGGAAGAACACCAGUGGCGAAGGCGGCACUCUGGGCCAACACUGACACUGAGGCGCGAAAGCUAGGGGAGC
rnacentral:rRNA from 1 species